GGGGCUGAUUCUGGAUUCGACGGGAUUUGCGAAACCCAAGGUGCAUGCCGAGGGGCGGUUGGCCUCGUAAAAAGCCGCAAAAAAAUAGUCGCAAACGACGAAAACUACGCUUUAGCAGCUUAAUAACCUGCUUAGAGCCCUCUCUCCCUAGCCUCCGCUCUUAGGACGGGGAUCAAGAGAGGUCAAACCCAAAAGAGAUCGC
rnacentral:tmRNA from 1 species